rnacentral:tRNA from 1 species
ACCGAGAUGGUGAAAUUGGAAAACACGCUACUUUAAGAUAGUAGUACUUAAAAGUUUAAGGGUUCGAAUCCCUUUCUCGGUA